UGAAUUUCCUAGGGGGCGUCAAAGCCUACCGAAGAAUAUCAAACUCCGAAUGCCGUGUAAUUGCUUACCAGGAGUCAGACUGCACGAGAUAAGUUGGGCAGUCAAAAGGGAAAGAGCCCAGACCUUCAGUUAAGGUCCCAAAGUGUGCGUUAAGUGGAAAAGGAUGUGGGAUUUCGAAGACAACCAGGAUGUUGGCUCAGAAGCAGCCAUACAUUCAAAGAGUGCGUAAUAGCUCACUGGUCGAGAGGUCCUGCGCCGAAAAUGUCCGGGGCUGAAACGCGCCACCGAAACUAAGGAACCGAAAGGUUGGUAGAGGAGCAUUGCAUGCGGGAAGAAGCAGUACCGUAAGGAGCUGUGGACUGCAUGGAAGAGAGAAUGCCGGAAUGAGUAGCGAGAUAGAGGUGGGAAUCCUCUAGGCCGAAUAUCCAAGGUUUCCAGGGUAAAGCUGAUCUGCCCUGGGUAAGUCGGGGCCUAAGGUGAGGACGAGAGUCGUAGCCGAUGGACAACAGGUGGAGAUUCCUGUACUAUGAUAUGACAGAACUGUGGGGACACGUGCAGAGAGCGGAAGCCGGGAAUGGGAUCCCGGUGCAAGCGAGGUACCAGAUGCGUUGGAAAAACCGCGCAUCAAUGGGAAGACGUGAUGCGGAGUGAAGUUUAGUAAUGAAGUCCGUGAGCUGUGCGUCAAGAAAAGCCGCUAUUGUUCAUACCAUACCCGUACCGUAAACCGACACAGGUGGAUGAGGAGAGAAUCCUAAGGCCGGCGGAAGAAGCAUUGUCAAGGAACUCGGCAAAAUGACCCCGUAACUUCGGGAGAAGGGGUGCCUGCGAGAGCAGGCCGCAGAGAAUAGGCUCAAGCAACUGUUUAGCAAAAACACAGGUCUAUGCGAAACCGAAAGGUGAGGUAUAUGGGCUGACGCCUGCCCGGUGCUGGAAGGUUAAGAGGAGAGGUUAGCGCAAGCGAAGCUUUGAAUUUAAGCCCCAGUAAACGGCGGCCGUAACAAUAACGGUCCUAAGGUAGCGAAAUUCCUUGUCGGGUAAGUUCCGACCCGCACGAAAGGCGUAAUGAUUUGAGCGCUGUCUCGACAAUGCAUCCGGUGAAAUUGAAGUACCAGUGAAGAUGCUGGUUACCUGCGCCAGGACGGAAAGACCCCAUGGAGCUUUACUCCAGUUUGGUACUGGGAUCCGGUACUGCAUGUACAGGAUAGGUGGGAGGCUAUGAAAUGGUAACGCCAGUUGCCAUGGAGCCGCUGUUGGGAUACCACCCUUGCAGUAUUGGGUUUCUAACCAGCCGCCGUGACCCGGCGGUGGGACAAUGCCAGACGGGGAGUUUGACUGGGGCGGUCGCCUCCGAAAGGGUAUCGGAGGCGCCCAAAGGUUCCCUCAGAAUGG
rnacentral:rRNA from 1 species